GACGAACGCUGGCGGCGUGCUUAACACAUGCAAGUCGAACGGGUCUGCCCUGUUUUUUGCGGGGUGGGUCAGUGGCGAACGGGUGAGUAACACGUGAGUAACCUGCCCCUCACUUCUGGAUAACCGCUUGAAAGGGUGGCUAAUACGGGGUGUUCUGGCUGUGCCGCAUGGUGUGGCUGGGAAAGAUUCACUUUUGUGGUGUUUUGGUGGGGGAUGGGCUCGCGGCCUAUCAGCUUGUUGGUGGGGUGAUGGCCUGCCAAGGCUUUGACGGGUAGCCGGCCUGAGAGGGUGGGCGGUCACACUGGGACUGAGAUACGGCCCAGACUACUGCGGGAGGCAGCAGUGGGGGGUAGUGCACAAUGGGCGGAAGCCUGAUGCAGCGACGUCGCGUGAGGGAUGGAGGCCUUCGGGUUGUGAACCUCUUUCGCCGGUGAAGAAGGUCCUGCUCUUUGUGGUGGGGUUGACGGUAGCCGGGUUAUGAAGCGCCGGCUAACUACGUG
rnacentral:rRNA from 1 species